rnacentral:rRNA from 1 species
CCGCCAGACUCCUACGGGAGGCAGCAGUGGGGAAUAUUGCACAAUGGGGGAAACCCUGAUGCAGCGACGCCGCGUGAGUGAAGAAGUAUUUCGGUAUGUAAAUCUCUAUCAGCAGGGAAGAAAAUGACGGUACCUGACUAAGAAGCCCCGGCUAACUACGUGCCAGCAGCCGCGGUAAUACGUAGGGAGCGAGCGUUGUCCGGAAUUACUGGGUGUAAAGGGAGCGUAGGCGGGGAUGCAAGUUGGGUGUCAAAACUGCCGGCUCAACUGGUAGUCGCACUCAAAACUGCAGCUCUUGAGUGAAGUAGAGGCAGGCGGAAUUCCUAGUGUAGCGGUGAAAUGCGUAGAUAUUAGGAGGAACACCAGUGGCGAAGGCGGCCUGCUGGACGGUGACUGACGCUGAGGCUCGAAAGCGUGGGGAGCAAACAGGAUUAGAUACCCGGGUAUA